rnacentral:rRNA from 1 species
GACCCAGACUCCUACGGGAGGCAGCAGUGAGGAAUAUUGGUCAAUGGCCGAGAGGCUGAACCAGCCAAGUCACGUGAGGGAAGACGGCCCUACGGGUUGUAAACCUCUUUUGUCGGGGAGCAAAGCGAACCACGUGUGGUUCAUUGAGAGUACCCGAAGAAAGAGCAUCGGCUAACUCCGUGCCAGCAGCCGCGGUAAUACGUAGGUGGCAAGCGUUAUCCGGAUUUAUUGGGUGUAAAGGGCGUGUAGGCGGGAAUGCAAGUCAGAUGUGAAAACUAUGGGCUCAACCCAUAGCCUGCAUUUGAAACUGUAUUUCUUGAGUGCUGGAGAGGCAAUCGGAAUUCCGCGUGUAGCGGUGAAAUGCGUAGAUAUACGGAGGAACACCAGUGGCGAAGGCGGAUUGCUGGACAGUAACUGACGCUGAGGCGCGAAAGCGUGGGGAGCAAACAGGAUUAGAUACCCUGGUA